AUUGCACGUCGAACGAACUCUGGUAUUGAUGCGGUGCUUGCAUCAUGAUUUACAUUUGAGUGAGUGGCGAACUGGUGAGUAACACGUGGGAAACCUGCCCAGAAGCGGGGGAUAACACCUGGAAACAGAUGCUAAUACCGCAUAACAACUUGGACCGCAUGGUCCGAGCUUGAAAGAUGGCUUCGGCUAUCACUUUUGGAUGGUCCCGCGGCGUAUUAGCUAGAUGGGGGGGUAACGGCUCACCGUGGCAAUGAUACGUACCCCACCUGAGAGGGUAAUCGGCCAUUUUGGGACUGACACACGGCCCACACUCCUACGGGAGGCAGCAGUAGGGAAUCUUCCACAAUGGACGAAAGUCUGAUGGAGCAACGCCGCGUGAGUGAAGAAGGGUUUCGGCUCGUAAAACUCUGUUGUUAAAAAAAAACAUAUCUGAGAGUAACUGUUCAGGUAUUGACGGUAUUUAACCAGAAAGCCACGGCUAACUACGUGCCAGCAGCCGCGGUAAUACGUAGGUGGCAAGCGUUGUCCGGAUUUAUUGGGCGUAAAGCGAGCGCAGGCGGUUUUUUAAGUCUGAUGUGAAAGCCUUCGGCUCAACCGAAGAAGUGCAUCGGAAACUGGGAAACUUGAGUGCAGAAGAGGACAGUGGAACUCCGUGUGUAGCGGUGAAAUGCGUAUAUAUAUGGAAGAACACCAGUGGCGAGCGCGGCUGUCUGGUCUGUAACUGACGCUGACGCUCGAAAGUAUGGGUAGCAAACAGGAUUAUAUACCCUGGUACUCCAUACCGUAAACGAUGAAUGCUAAGUGUUGGAGGGUUUCCGCCCUUCAGUGCUGCAUCUAACGCAUUAAGCAUUCCGCCUGGGGAGUACGGCCGCAACGCUGACACUCAAAGGAAUUGACGGGGCGCCCGCACAAGCGGUGGAGCAUGUGGUAUAAUUCGAAGCUACGCGAAGAAUCCUUACCAGGUCGUGACAUACUA
rnacentral:rRNA from 2 species